UGAUUCCAAGGAAGGGAUGAUGUUCCAAUUGAGUCCCAAGAAAAGGAUCCUGAGUCUCAUCACUUUGAAGUAGCCAAGUUGGUCCCUGACCUUCCUUGAUAAGAA